UUUGUAUGAGAGGAAUGUUACAAUGAAGCAGAAAUGUUAGUACUAGAAAAUCAUCAGUCCAUUCAUUACAAAUGGCAAAUCUUUAACUAAAGCAUUAGUUUGUUGUUGAUUUAAACUUAAGCAAUUAUACAGCAGCUACACAAAUCUUUGUUUUUGUUUCUGUGAAUAGAAAACUUUUUAAUUGAUACAAUUUUCAUUACAACUUUAAAAGUUGUUUAUAUUUAAUUUAUUUUUGGGAGGAAAAAAGAAAAAGGAAAAUCGAACAGUCUCUACAACUUGGUCAAGAGAAAGGCUGUAUUCAAUUGCUAAAUAUUGUGAAACAAAUAUAAUGAAGAAAUAGAAAAUAAACUUUACAAAGCUAUUUCCCUUUAUUUUGACCAAUUUAAAAUUUUAAUGUAUGUUUAUAAAGAUUUAAAAAUUUAUUUAAAAAACAGGAAUAUGUUCAAUGUUUUCAGUGAUGAUGUUUUAAGAUAACAAAUCUGUGUACUGUCUAACAAUCUUCAGAAUAUUAACCUUGUAAAGUUGCAUUUGUCAUUAAUUCUCUCCUAGUCAAAAUCAGUUCCAAUUUUUUUCAACCAGCCAGGACAGUUAAAAAAAAAGUAAAAAUCUAAAGGGCUGAUGAUGUAAAGGUCAUCUGUUUGUGUAGCCCACAAGGGUGUCAUGUGACCAGCACAAGAACCAACUGACUUUACUUUUCCCCAACUAAUGUCAGAGCUGAAGUGGACUCAGAGGCACCCUAAAGAUUCUGAAAUCCCAGUCUUCACCUGGAUUCAAACCCAGGACCCCCAGUUCGGAAGCCAAGUGCUUAACCACUCAGCCACCUCGCCUCUAAAAACAAGGGUAUUAUAAUUCUAUUCAUGCUACGUAUUUUCAACAUCAGAAACAUAAAUAUACCAUAAAAAAACAUUAUAAACAUUGGUAACAAUUUAUGGAUUUCUUGAAAUUAUGUUUGUUGAGCUGCCUUUUAUUUUACUCAACCUCAUGCAUGUUAAAAUAAGUUUUAACAAUAGGCAAUGCAGGAUAAGUGAAAUACCACGAAGACAAUGAUAAAUAAUAUACCACAAAGGCCAUCAAGUGACAGAUUGUUCACAAUAGGCAAUUUGCCAAAACAUUGAUCUGACAUACAAUGGUGUGAUAAACAUGUUUUUAACUAUUAUUCAAAUACCAACUAUAAUUAUCUAAGUUUGCAAAAAAAAAAUUUACAUUCAAUUCCAAUGUAUGUGCUAGAUAAAAAAUCUUGUAAAAUUUAUGGAGAAUUAUUUUGAGCCUUCUUAGGACACGGUUGAGAAGAAAAAUCCUAAUUUCCAAGAACUUUUUCUUCUGUGCUGCCAAAACUCUUUAAAGUUAACAAAAACUGGUCAAUUUUGUAAUGGGGGAAUAAUACAACUAAGGAAUCUUCUUCAAUUUUCAAGAUUGAGGAUGAGUGCAGUAUUUCACGUGACCACGCAAACCCAGUUGUGACAUGCAUUUUUGCCACAUAUGUGCAGAUUCUGCCUGGGAAUCUAUUUAAGCUUUUUUUUUAUCUGCACCUGUCUUCAGCAAAGGGCUUUUCUUUGGGGAGGUAGUACAAUAAAAUUAUAGUCAACAAUUCAUCAUUCAAGGUCUAUUUAGUAUCUGACUUUUAAAAGAGAGGUUUCAAACCUUUCAAAGAGUUUGAUUAUGACAGUUACCAUGCAGUUUCAUCUCAAUGUUCAUUUAUCUAAUGUAAGGUCAAACACAGAAACCGCCCCCAACCCCUUAAUCUCCAAAAUGGUUACAGAAAGAAUUAAAAAAACAGCUUUACCUGACUAAGGCAUGGACCAUAAUAUUUAGAAACAUA